rnacentral:rRNA from 1 species
UACGAAGGGGGCUAGCGUUGUUCGGAAUUACUGGGCGUAAAGCGCGCGUAGGCGGUUUUGCAAGCCAGAGGUGAAAUGCCUGAGCUCAACUUAGGAAUUGCCUUUGGGACUGCGAGGCUUUGAGGACUGGAGAGGUGAGUGGAAUUCCCAGUGUAGAGGUGAAAUUCGUAGAUAUUGGGAAGAACACCGGUGGCGAAGGCGGCUCACUGGCCCGAUACUGACGCUGAGGCACGAAAGCGUGGGGAGCAAACAGG